CAAGUUUAUUAUUUAGUUAAGAAUUUCUUUUACAUUGAAGUUUAUUGUUGUGCAAUUCAUCAAAACUUGA
rnacentral:tRNA from 1 species